UACGUGGGGGGCAAGCGUUGUUCGGAAUUACUGGGCGUAAAGGGCUCGUAGGUGGCCAACUAAGUCAGACGUGAAAUCCCCAGGCUUAACCUGGGAACUGCGUCUGAUACUGGAUGGCUUGAAUUCGGGAGAGGGAUGCAGAAUUCCAGGUGUAGCGGUGAAAUGCGUAGAUAUCUGGAGGAAUACCGGUGGCGAAGGCGGCAUCCUGGACCGAGAUUGACACUGAUGAGCGAAAGCUAGGGGAGCAAACGGG
rnacentral:rRNA from 1 species